UACGGAGGGUGCGAGCGUUGGCCGGAAUCACUGGGCGUAAAGGGCGCGUAGGUGGCCGAGCAAGGUCGCGGUGAAAGCCCGGGGCUCAACCCCGGGUCGGCCGUGGCAACUACUGGGCUGGAGCACUGUAGGGGCGGGUGGAAUUCCGGGUGUAGCGGUGGAAUGCGUAGAGAUCCGGAAGAACACCGGUGGCGAAGGCGGCCCGCUGGGCAGUUGCUGACACUGAGGCGCGACAGCGUGGGGAGCAAACAGG
rnacentral:rRNA from 1 species